GCAUGCCAGAGCAAACUGUGGCCUUGAACCAUUGCCCGGCCUCUGCCUGCAGGCUACAGGCACUGAGGCAGAUUGCACAGUG
rnacentral:snoRNA from 1 species